rnacentral:misc_RNA from 1 species
GUGGGUGCGGUGCGGUGGUA